rnacentral:rRNA from 1 species
CAGCACCUCAAGUGGUCAGGAUGAUUAUUGGGCCUAAAGCAUCCGUAGCCGGCGCUGUAAGUUUUCGGUUAAAUCUGUACGCUCAACGUACAGGCUGCCGGGAAUACUGCAGCGCUAGGGAGUGGGAGAGGUAGAUGGUACUCGGUAGGAAGGGGUAAAAUCCUUUGAUCUAUUGAUGACCACCUGUGGCGAAGGCGGUCUACCAGAACACGUCCGACGGUGAGGGAUGAAAGCUGGGGGAGCAAACCGGAUUAGAGACCCGAGUAGUCC